GGAAUCGUGCCUGAAUAAAGGACUACUUUGAUAGAGUAGAUCAUGGGGAUUAACAUCUCCCCCGACUCCU
rnacentral:tRNA from 1 species